UGUAACCCCACCGUUUCUACUCAACCCAAUCCGCUCUGAGCUGGUAUCGAACCGACGACCUUCCGCAUAGGAAUCGGUUGCUCUAACAAGGAGGCUAAAGACCAUGGCUUCUAGUGUCAGUCGCUAGAGCACCUUUAGAGGUCAGAGGAGUGAGGUUUACCUGCAUAACACUUACUAGCUGGCCUCCGUUACACUCACCCCCCUAAACCUCACUCCCAUCCGGGUCACGGUACCAAUGUAAUCCCGCCGGUCCUACGCCACCCAACUCUCUCCGAGCUGGUAUCAAACCGGCGAUAUUCCGCAUGGGAUUCGGGUGCUCUACCAAGGAGGCUAAAGACCAUGGCUCCUAGCGUCUGUCGCUAGAGCACCUUUAGAGGUCAGAUGAGUGAGGUUUACCUGCACAGCACUUACUAGCUGGCCUCCGUUAC
ensembl:processed_transcript